GACGAACGCUGGCGGCGUGCCUAAUACAUGCAAGUCGAACGCUGAAGAGAGGAGCUUACUCUUCUUGGAUGAGUUGCGAACGGGUGAGUAACGCGUAGGUAACCUGCCUUGUAGCGGGGGAUAACUAUUGGAAACGAUAGCUAAUACCGCAUAACAAUGGAUGACACAUGUCAUUUAUUUGAAAGGGGCAAUUGCUCCACUACAAGAUGGACCUGCGUUGUAUUAGCUAGUAGGUGAGGUAAUGGCUCACCUAGGCGACGAUACGUAGCCGACCUGAGAGGGUGAUCGGCCACACUGGGACUGAGACACGGCCCAGACUCCUACGGGAGGCAGCAGUAGGGAAUCUUCGGCAAUGGGGGCAACCCUGACCGAGCAACGCCGCGUGAGUGAAGAAGGUUUUCGGAUCGUAAAGCUCUGUUGUAAGUCAAGAACGGGUGUGAGAGUGGAAAGUUCACACUGUGACGGUAGCUUACCAGAAAGGGACGGCUAACUACGUG
rnacentral:rRNA from 1 species